rnacentral:lncRNA from 12 species
CUUGCUUCUUGUCAUCUUUGUCUCUUUCAAGCAUGCUUUCUGCUGUGCGCCAUUACAGCAGUGAUUUUGUUUGUAUGUCACACAUAUAAAGUUUCAGAAAUAGCUUUAGUGUUAGAUCUGGGUGUUUGAGCCAAACUUACUAAAGAUGUAACUAACUUCAGUUCCCAUUCCUCUCGGUUCAGGUAUGGGCCUGACAAAGAACUUGAAAAACUGAAGCACAUGCAUUUUAAAGUGGGUAUGAUCGCGCUUGCCCCGCACCCUUCCCUGGGCUGACCUCCCGCUCUCCUUAAGCCCGUGUGCCGCUGUGCUCGCCCGCGGGUGCGCGCCCAGGCGGCGGGCGGGGGCUCCUGGCCCUGGGUGCCACCGAGGGCAAACGCCGCUAAAGCCGGUCCCGGCUCCCGCGGCUCUCGGGGGCUGCGGGCAGGCGCCCUUGUACCGGCCCGGGCUCUGCCGCCAGGGGGGGGGGGGGGGGGGGGGCAGGAGCUGCCUCUCGGCAGGGCGAGGGGUGCCCGCCCUCCGGCGCGGCUGUCCUCGCUGCGCUGUCCCCGCUGCCCCGGACCGAGCAUCUGGAGGGGUGGUUCCCCCACCUCGGCACGCGAGGCUGCAAUUGAGAAUGUGGAUUACUCUGUGUGUAUGACAUAUGUUCUUACAGG